rnacentral:lncRNA from 1 species
GUAUAAAACUAAGAGGGUGGUAAAGGGUUAUUUUCGUGCAACGUGUUUUGCCAUUUUUAUUUCACGUGCAGCCGUGAAAAAGGUUCGUUAUUCACCGUGUUUCGUGAAAUCGGUAAAAAGAUCAACGUGCAAGAAAUUUUUAAUUGUUCGUUCAUCGUGAAAUGGCAAUUUUAUUCCGCGUUCUUCCGUGCAGAUACCCCCCUUUACGCCCCUCAAC